GACAAGGUAGGCUAAGUUAAAGUCAACGGACUCAUAACCCGCGUAUGGGAGAUCUCCCCCUUGUUA
rnacentral:tRNA from 1 species